ensembl:lncRNA
AUAUGUAUAGGGAAGGGGAUAGGGGAGUGAUGGAGGUAGAUAUGUAUAGGGGAAGGAGACAGGGAUACUGGAGUGAUGGAGGUAGAUAUGUAUAGGAGACAGGGAUACUGGAGUGAUGGAGGUAGAUAUGUAUAGGGGAAGGGGACAGGGAUACUGGAGUGAUGGAGGUAGAUAUGUAUAGGAGACAGGGAUACUGGGGUGAUGGAGGUAGAUACAGUGCCUUCGGAAGUUAUUCAGACCCCUGAACAUUUUCCACAUUUUGUUACAGCCUUAUUCUAAAAUUGAUUAAAUAAAUAAAUAAUCCUCAGCAAUCUACACACAAUACCCCAUAAUGACAUCACAAUACCCCAUAAUGACAAAGCAAAAACAAGUUAAAAAAAUAAAAUUAGAAAAAAAACAGAAAUAGCUUAUUUUUGUAUACCUUUAUUUUUU